rnacentral:rRNA from 1 species
UGCCAGCCGCCGCGGUAAUACGGAGGGUGCGAGCGUUAAUCGGAAUCACUGGGCGUAAAGCGUAUGUAGGCGGAUUGGACAGUUGGAGGUGAAAUCCCGGAGCUCAACUCCGGAACUGCCUUCAAUACUUCCAGUCUAGAAUCUGUAAGGGGGUGGUGGAAUUCCGAGUGUAGAGGUGAAAUUCGUAGAUAUUCGGAGGAACACCAGUGGCGAAGGCGACCACCUGGUACAGUAUUGACGCUGAGAUGCGAAAGCGUGGGGAGCAAACAGGAUUAGAUA